rnacentral:rRNA from 1 species
GCAGCAGCCGCGGUAAUACAGAGGGUGCGAGCGUUAAUCGGAUUUACUGGGCGUAAAGCGUGCGUAGGCGGCUUUUUAAGUCGGAUGUGAAAUCCCUGAGCUUAACUUAGGAAUUGCAUUCGAUACUGGGAAGCUAGAGUAUGGGAGAGGAUGGUAGAAUUCCAGGUGUAGCGGUGAAAUGCGUAGAGAUCUGGAGGAAUACCGAUGGCGAAGGCAGCCAUCUGGCCUAAUACUGACGCUGAGGUACGAAAGCAUGGGGAGCAAACAGGAUUAGAUACCCGUGUAGUCCCUGUCUCUUAUAA